UUCGAUUAACCUAAAGGCGUAAUGAAAGUAAAGGUUCUCCUCGCGAGAACCGAGGGAAGACGGGCGGUCGCGCGCGCGCGAGCGCGCGCGCCGCUCCGCACUCCCGGGGCGUCUCGUUCUCAUCGCGAGAAGAGGCGCACCAAGAGCGUACACGCUGGGACCCRAAAGAUGGUGAACUAUGCCUGGUCAGGACGAAGUCAGGGGAAACCCUGAUGGAGGUCCGUAGCGAUUCUGACGUGCAAAUCGAUCGUCGGAACUGGGUAUAGGGGCGAAAGACUAAUCGAACCAUCUAGUAGCUGGUUCCCUCCGAAGUUUCCCUCAGGAUAGCUGGCGCUCGUCGCGCACGAGUCUCAUCCGGUAAAGCGAAUGAUUAGAGGCAUUGGGGUCGAAACGACCUCAACCUAUUCUCAAACUUUAAAUGGGUGAGAUCUCCGGCUUGCUCGAACAAUAUAUGCGCGCGCGCGCGCGCGGCGUUUAGCGGCGUACGCGCGSGCGCGGUAAAACGCGCUCGCGCUCGAUGUGACGACACCACACGCGCGCGCUCUGAAUCCGCGAGAUACAAAAGGAUCARAGAGUGCCAGGUGGGCCAUUUUUGGUARGCAAAACUGGCGCUGUGUGAUGAACCAAACGUCGAGUUAAAGCGCCUAAAUCGACGCUUAUGGGAUACCAUGAAAGGCGUUGGUAACUUAAGACAGCAGGACGGUGGCCGUGGAAGUCGGA
rnacentral:rRNA from 1 species